ACCAACACCUUUCUCGAACCCUUCACUAAUACUGAAUGACCCUAUAAAUUAUAGGAGACACAAUGCUAAAACUAGUAACAAGAAAUAGACUUUCUCCGAAAUGCAAGUGUAAGCCAAAACGGACCCACCAUUGGCCUUUACCGUGUUUGACCCAAGUACAGCAACUCCUCCCAGAAAACCCUGUAUGCCCAAACGUUACCCUAACACAAGAACAUUCCCGGAAAGAUUAAAAGAGAAAGAAGGAACUCGGCAAACCUAAGCCCCGCCUGUUUACCAAAAACAUCGCCUCUUGAUUAAAUAUAAGAGGUCCAGCCUGCCCAGUGACAUAGUUAAACGGCCGCGGUACCCUGACCGUGCGAAGGUAGCAUAAUCACUUGUUCCUUAAAUAGGGACUUGUAUGAACGGCAUCACGAGGGCUUUACUGUCUCCUUUCUCCAAUCAGUGAAACUGAUCUCCCCGUGAAGAAGCGGGGAUGAUAAUAUAAGACGAGAAGACCCCAUGGAGCUUUAAACCCAACGACACCCCUCAACUCCCCAACCUUAGUUGCUACAGUCCUGUUCGUUGGUUUUAGGUUGGGGUGACCGCGGAGUAUAGAUUAACCUCCACGACGAAUGGGACUACCCCCUUACCCAAGAGCUACUCCUCUAAGGAUCAAAAAAUUGACGUAAAAUGAUCCAAGCAUUUGAUCAACGGACCAAGUUACCCUGGGGAUAACAGCGCAAUCCAUUUCAAGAGCCCCUAUCGACAAAUGGGUUUACGACCUCGAUGUUGGAUCAGGGUACCCAAGUGGUGCAGCCGCUACAAUGGU
rnacentral:rRNA from 1 species